GAUGAAGAACGCAGCGAAAUGCGAUAAGUAAUGUGAAUUGCAGAAUUCAGUGAAUCAUCGAAUCUUUGAACGCACAUUGCGCCCCCUGGUAUUCCGGGGGGCAUGCCUGUUCGAGCGUCAUUUCACCACUCAAGCCUCGCUCGGUAUUGGGCAACGCGGUCCGCCGCGUGCCUCAAAUCGACCGGCUGGGUCUUCUGUCCCCUAAGCGUUGUGGAAACUAUUCGCUAAAGGGUGUUCGGGAGGCUACGCCGUAAAACAACCCCAUUUCUAAGGUUGACCUCGGAUCAGGUAGGGAUACCCGCUGAACUUAAGCAUAUCAAUAAGCGGAGGA
rnacentral:misc_RNA from 1 species